rnacentral:lncRNA from 1 species
CACAGUCCCGUCACAGCUGCUGGUAAAGGGUGAGGAAACCACAUGUGAGUUAGAUAUCCACUCUGAGAGCAGGUUAAUUGACCUGGAUCCCCACCUUUCUUCAGGUUACAACGGGAGCAGGAAACAAAGGUAUUGAAGGGCCACUGGAAUUGGCAUCACAUUCUGGAAUUGCUACACAUUCUGAGAGGGAGUUUGUCUUUAACGCAAAGCCAGGCAAAUUAUCAUCAUCUGGCUGUUGAAUGGGAGGGCUCAGAGCCUCAUUCGAGACAGCGCCCUUAAAUUCCUCCCUCAGCCCUCUGAUGAGGGAUUAUGAGCGGGCCUCAUGGCCACCCCUACCUCUCAGAAGACCACCUCACCAAGAGGGAGGGUGUUAUCUUGUUAGCCAAAGGAGGUGAGGAGAGGUCUGAGCAGGAGCUACAGUGAUGAAAGCUCAGAAUGAACACAGCAGAUUGACGGAGGGAAGCUGCACACGCAAUGACUGGUGGAGACACGGACAGUUGCCAGGUGGCGGGAGCCGGCCACGGCCAUGUGCCAGGCAGGCCUGGCUUUGGAGUCAGGCCCUAGAGCAGCACUUCUCCCGCUGCAUGUGCGCGGGGCCCGGGCCCCAUGCCAUCUCUGCUGCAAGGCACAGGUUCCGACAACACUGCACAUGCUCAUCCUUAGACCCAGGGAAGCAGAGACAAACUUGUACAGCGGAAAUGACUUAUGGGGUCCCUUCUGGAAUUAAAGCGAACUCCUCCUUUAACUCUGCUACUUUACACCCUUCUAAAGUGGAGCUGCACGUCACCGCUCCCCUGUAUAAUGCACCAGAAUCACCAUCGUAUCAAAACGUUUCUCUCCUUCCUGUCAAGUGCUCCUCAGCUCCCAGACAUCAGGGCCUCUGCUUCCCACAGACCCGGAGAACUUCCCAAGACCCAACAGAGCCCCAGCAGAGGGGGCUGGGCCUGUGCCUGGAUCCACGUCUGUCUCAGUCUCUCCUGCGGAAGAAACAGAUGCCAGCUGAAGUCAAUUCUGUCUACACGCACGACACACGUAGGGGUGCUUUCCAUGUUUUAACUAUCAGGUCUGAAGAGAGAAAAAAAUUUAACAACUCCAAAAAUGGGUCUAGAGGGCAAGCUGUUUUGUUUCUUCAACACACACACACACAUGCAUAUAUAUCUCACAACCUCUCUCCCAGUACACUUACUGCUCAGUGUACCUCCCCUAAAAGAAAUAAGCAUUUUUAGGAGUUUGUUUUAAUGGAAGAUGUGUGUUCAAAUUUUCCUAUGCAUCCAUGCAAUAUGAAGCUAAAAGAUGUAAGAACAAAAUAAUUGAAAAUCGUCACAGGUACCAUGCUCUUUUAAGAGAAACACCACAUCGCACUUAACCAGAAAGAGGGAAGUGCGCUAACAGUGUUACACCUGUUAGAAACCCAACAGCACACACACACACAUCCCACGUAUUUUUUCUCACUUAAUUCUCACAAUUACCCUAAGACAUCCAAAGCAAAAACUCUCAUUAUGAAGAAAGUUCAAAGAUAUCUCUUGCACUUGAUAUAUUUCUAAGAUCAAAGCUUGAGCCUUGAUAGAUGCUUUUGAAGAAAAAUAUAGCACAGGUAAUAACCACGAUACGCAGGUGUGUCAAUGAGCACAGCGUACCUAUUCCUCAGUAGGUUCAAAACCAUUUAAAAUGGGAUAUAAAAUGAUAUAAAGAAUCUAAAAUAAAUGUUUUUCAAAUACCCA